UCCAGCAGCUCUAUCACCCAGCAACUCUCAGAGGGCAGCCCACUGGAGCUCAGCAGGUGUGAGCCUGGCCAGUACCUGGAGGGGAGACCUCCUGGGAAAGCUGAGGCUGCUGCUGGAA
rnacentral:rRNA from 1 species